rnacentral:tRNA from 2 species
GGGACAUUAGCUCAAUUGGUAGAGCAUUCGACUCUUAAUCGACAGGUUGUAGGUUCAAGUCCUACAUGUCCCA